CCAAUAAAUUCAGACAAUUUAAAAAACAUAACAUAAAUGUUUUUCUCCUCUUGCUCCGGCAUAUUUUUGGGACCCUAUGAGCUUCCGUAGCCCUCGCCCACCUUCUUACUUCUUUAGUGGAGAUCCACAAGCAUAGCAGAACAAGGCUAAUGCUAAUGCUUUCGAGAGCGAGACAUUUCUUCCAAAGAAAAGUGUCGUCAGUGCUUUAGAAUUGCAGUUACAGACGCGGAACAAGUGAAUGCAAGCUGCAAAGUUUCUGUAGAAAAGGUAGCAGCACAACAAAAUUUUUUCCAGCAUCUGAAACAGCAUCGAGCCGAGCGGGGGAAAUGCAACUCUUUAAGAGGCAAACAAGACCGCAACAACCACAAACUCCACCUAAAAAAUAUCUUACUAUGUUGGAAUGAUUUACACAAGAAAACACUUGACUCUCCAAAUACCACCAUAAUGACAGAUGGUCAUUCUGUCAGAGCUACAGCAUUGCUCCGUGGAAAGAGAGGAAGUUUCCAGAAAAGACAACCAUCUAUGCAGCAACCCACCAACAAGGCCUGUAUGGUAUAGUGGCCAGUCGGAAGCCAUUUGUCUGGUCUGAUGAGACAAAAAUUUAACUCUUCGGCGUGAAUGCCGGUCAUCAUAUUUAAAGGAAAUCAGGCACCACUCAACACCAGGCCAAUACUAUCCCUACAGUGAAGAAUGGCGGUGGCAGCAUUGUGCUGUGGGAGUGUUUUUCAGUGGCAGUAACUGGGAGACUAGUCAGGUUAGAAGCAAAGAUGAAUGCAGAAAUGUACAGAAACAUCCUGGAUGAAAACCAACGCUUCCCAUCCAAUCUGAUGGAGCUUGAGAGGUGCUGCAAAGAGAAAUGGGUGAAACUGCCCAAAGAUAGGUGUGCCAAACCUGUGGCAUCAAAUUCAAAAAUACUUGAAGCUGUAGCAUCAACACAGUAUUGAGCAAAGGCUGUGAAUACUUAUGUAAAUAUGAUUAUUUUUGUUUUUAUUUUGAAUAAAUGAAUAAAAAAAAAUAAUAAAAAAAUCACAUUGUCAUUACGGGGUAUUGUCUUUAAAAUUAUGAGGACAAAAUGUAUUUAUUCCAUUUUGGAAUUAGGCAGUAUCAUAAAAUGUGGAAAAAUUGAAGUGCUGUAACCUUCCUUAUAAAUGUAUUGCCUGUUUUUCUGCCAUUGCUACGGUGCUUGGUUGUUAUGUAGCUUAUUCAAUUUAAUUAGAUCACUCGCAGUGGGUAAAUAAUGUGAAUUUUGAUAUCCAUCAGAUAACAAGUAGAUACUAGUAUCGCCGAAACUGGUUAAUACUGGUUAACUGAGUUAAUGAGAAUAUUCAAAGGAAUGAAUGACUGAAACAAAAAAUGAUAAUAAAAUCUUUACACAUGCUAGAAUGUAUGUAAUAGUGCAUCUUUUAUGAGUUUUAACUAAUUUAAAUGAACUUCAACCACAUUUAAAUUCAUGUUCCCAACUUUAAAUGUACUGUAGGCCUAUUUCCUUACUGUAGCUUUUUAUUGUUUAGGUGUAAAGUCAGUUAAGUUUAUUGUGGUCACAACUAGCGGUUUUAUUACUAAUGGUGCGUUUGUGAUGCAAACAUUUCAGACAAAACAUUAUCUGGAUGAGCACACCCGGCAUAUGUUUAUAAUCAAUUUCAAGUGCAUGAGCAAGAUUGUGAGAAAGCAAGAACUGGAAACUCCACGGUCACACUGACUCACCCUGACUUGACGAGGCAUUCAUGGACCUUCUGAAUGUCCCGAAGGGGAAUGGCUCGCAGAGGCUCCUUAUCCUGGCACACAAACACAGCAGACAUAAGCCGAUGAAGAAGAGGAGCACAGAUGAAGAUCAGCAGGCCGUCCUCACCAUCUCAGACUUGUAGUAACUGACCGCGUUGUUAUCAAGGGUAAAAAAGCGUCUCUUCCAGCUUUUCCUCUGGAAAACAUGUCAGUUUCCCAUGCUCAUCCUCCUUUGAAGUUAGACGGUAGAGGUGUACUCACAACAUUGCCUUGCUUCACACAGUAGCUGGACCUCAGCACACCAGGCUUGAUGCCCUUCUUCUCAGUGUCCUCUGAUUCAUUCUGAAACAUCACCAUCUUCCCAAUCACCAAGACAUGUCUGUGUCUACUCUAUGUGCUAAACAUUUUUUUUUUACAAACACAACUUUUAUUUUAGGGGCACUAUACCUGAAUAGGAGUGUGCACUACCACUCCCCCGAUGAUUUCUGUCUUGUAUGCGUGCUGCUUCUUUCCACCAUGAGCGUCACUGACAAUUGCAGACACAUGGGACCUUGAAGGUGCCGGACCAGACUUAGGAACCUACCCGCAAGCAACAUCAACGGUCACCUAUUUUGCAAAACUAACAUUAUAACAGUAAUACAGCGGAACUUUGAUUUACCAACCGCUUCAUUUGGGAACUUUCCGUUUUUUUUAACGUGCCAAAUAUACCUCAAGUGUCUGUGUAUGAACACAUCAUUCAUUUUGUAUCCCGCUGGGAACCAUUUUGUGCUUGCUCGUAUUUAAGAGAUUGAGGAUGCCGCAAGUUUUUAAUUGUGAUUAGAACUGACUUUUGUGGAAAAAUAUAUUCUAAAGUGGAUUUAUUUUACAGCAGAGGAAUUACAACACGUCUUGUUUAGCAGCAUGUUUUCAAAGAGCGUACACACACACACACACUCAAAUCCCCGCCCAACUCUCUGCCCUGUGUCUGCCUCUUAAUCUUCUCUUGUGAUCUGCUUCUUUGCCGAUGUGUACUGUAAGUGGAUUUAAAAAAUGUUUAUGUUCAUUAUUGUGGUAAAGCGGUUGUCAAAUAAAGUUUAAACAUUUUUGUGA